rnacentral:ribozyme from 16 species
UUUUUUUGUUUUUUUUUUUUCACCCACCUUUGAAUUCUCCACAAAAAUCUGAGCAUUUUGAGUAUAGACACAUGGAGCAAAAGUUCUUUUUGGCCGCUUUGGCAGACCGAAAAAAAAAGU